rnacentral:tRNA from 1 species
GCGAAAGUGGCGGAAUUGGCAGACGCACCAGCUUGAGGGGCUGGCGACCGCAAGGUCGUGGGGGUUCGAGUCCCCCCUUUCGCACCA